rnacentral:lncRNA from 1 species
UGAUUACAAUGGUUCGAUUGCAUCGAAAAGGUAUAACCACUCUAUUGACAUUUGAUGUCUCGAGAUAGAGAUGGGAUUAGACUCAAUAACUGUUAGAUGAGGAUCCCAAUGAUGGUUUUGUAUCUGCUGGUGAAUGAUGGGUCUGACUUAACUAAGAAAUGUGCCAAUAAUUGUUAGGUGAGGCCACAGGAUUUAGAGACCAAGCACACCGCAUCUUGCUU